rnacentral:rRNA from 1 species
AUUGAACGCUGGCGGCAGGCCUAACACAUGCAAGUCGACCGAGUGGCGUACGGGUGAGUAAUGUCUGGGAAACUGACCGAUGGAGGGGGAUAAAUACUGGAAACGGUAGCUAAUACCGCAUACCAUCGGCUUUGCCCCGAUGGGAUUAGCUAGUAGGUGGGGUAAAGGCUCACCUGGGCGACGAUCCCUAGCUGGUAUGAGAGGAUGAACAGCCACACUGGAACUGAGACACGGUCCAGACUCCUACGGGAGGCAGCAGUGGGGAAUAUUGCACAAUGGGCGCAAGCCUGAUGCAGCCAUGCCGCGUGUAUGAAGAAGGCCUUCGGGUUGUAAAGUACUUUCAGCGGGGAGGCGUUACCCGCAGAAGAAGCACCGGCUAACUCCGUGCCAGCAGCCGCGGUAAUAC